rnacentral:rRNA from 1 species
UAGGGAAUAUUGGGCAAUGGGCGAGAGCCUGACCCAGCCAUGCCGCGUGCAGGAUGAAGGCCUUCUGGGUUGUAAACUGCUUUUCUCAGGGAAGAAAAAGGGGAUGCGUCCCAAACUGACGGUACCUGAGGAAUAAGCACCGGCUAACUCCGUGCCAGCAGCCGCGGUAAUACGGAGGGUGCAAGCGUUGUCCGGAUUUAUUGGGUUUAAAGGGUGCGUAGGUGGCCCGUUAAGUCCGGGGUGAAAGCCUCUUGCUCAACAAGAGAACUGCCCUGGAUACUGGCGGGCUUGAGUCCAGACGAGGUUGGCGGAAUGGAUGGUGUAGCGGUGAAAUGCAUAGAUACCAUCCAGAACCCCGAUUGCGUAGGCAGCUGACUAGGCUGGUACUGACACUGAGGCACGAAAGCGUGGGGAGCGAACAG